rnacentral:rRNA from 1 species
GAUGAACGCUGGCGGCGUGCUUAACACAUGCAAGUCGAACGGAAAGGCCAUGCUUUUGCGGGGUGCUCGAGUGGCGAACGGGUGAGUAACACGUGAGUAACCUGUCCUUGACUUCGGGAUAACUUCAGGAAACUCGGGCUAAUACCCGAUAGGAGCUCCUGCUGCAUAGUGGGGGAUGGAAAGUUUCGGCGGUUGGGGAUGGACUCGCGGCUUAUCAGCUUGUUGGUGGGGUAGUGGCUUACCAAGGCUUUGACGGGUAGCCGGCCUGAGAGGGUGACCGGCCACAUUGGGACUGAGAUACGGCCCAGACUCCUACGGGAGGCAGCAGUGGGGAAUAUUGCACAAUGGGCGGAAGCCUGAUGCAGCAACGCCGCGUGCGGGAUGACGGCCUUCGGGUUGUAAACCGCUUUCGCCUGUGACGAAGCGUGAGUGACGGUAAUGGGUAAAGAAGCACCGGCUAACUACGUG